rnacentral:rRNA from 1 species
UUGGAGGGCAAGUCUGGUGCCAGCAGCCGCGGUAAUUCCAGCUCCAAUAGCGUAUAUUAAAGUUGUUGCAGUUAAAAAGCUCGUAGUUGAAUUUCGGGGUUAGUAGGUUGGUCAUGCCUCUGGUAUGUACUGGUCUCACUGAUUCCUCCUUCCUGAUGAGCCGUAAUGCCAUUAAUUUGGUGUUGCGGGGAAUUUGGACUGUUACUUUGAAAAAAUUAGAGUGUUUAAAGCAAGCUAACGCUUGAAUACAUUAGCAUGGAAUAAUGAAAUAGGACGUUCGAUCCUAUUUUGUUGGUUUCUAGGAUUGACGUAAUGAUUAAUAGGGAUAGUUGGGGGCAUUAGUAUUCAAUUGUCAGAGGUGAAAUUCUUGGAUUUAUUGAAGACUAACUACUGCGAAAGCAUUUGCCAAGGAUGUUUUCAUUAAUCAAGAACGAAAGUUAGGGGAUCGAAGACGAUCAGAUACCGUCGUAGUCUUAACCAUAAACUAUGCCGACUAGAGAUCGGAUGAUGUUAAUUUUUUAAUGACUCAUUCGGCGCCUUACGGGAAAC